UCUCUUUUGACCUCAGGCUCUUUUGCUGUCGGAUGCCUUUCUUCAUAGUUACGCACUUCACAAUUCUGCAUAAUUAGCACAAGACACAGGCAGAAGACCAGAUAUUCAUUGUUUCACAAUCUUUUGACACGAUUUGCACUGAUCCUUUGGUGUGAGCCAUCACAAUGGAGCAGCUAGUGAAGAUGCUGACUCACAGCUCCAGCAAACCAAGAUCUGACAUUGCUGAAAUGGAUAUGACGCACUCUAUAUACAUUGGAUCUUUGUUGAGGUGCAGCGUAUUACUCCACAUUUGCGCUUUACUCUUUGUUCGGCUCGACCUAUUUGCGUGAACAGGCGUUCAGCAUCAUGAACAUCAACAAAGCCAGCCACAGAUCCAAGUUAACUGACCGACACCUCAGAUCCAUCCUGAGAAUCGCCACAACAAAACUAAAUCCAGACUUUGAUGCGCUGGCUAAAAAGGGAGACCAACAACACUGUUCCCACUGAAAUUAAAAAUAUGUUUCUUCGUUGUGUUAUGUAAAAAAUGCAUUUGAAAAUAUUUUUUUCAAUAAGCCUUACAUGUUACAUGUCAUUUCUGUUAAGUGAUGGACAUGAGUAGUGCGCAGGUGCACGUACGUUCUCAAAAUAAAAAAUGCGCUCCCGAUCAAAUAACGCGCUCCGCAUACUGGCGCGCUGUCACUGUUCUGUCUUUGUGCUGGUCGUUGUUGAGUUUUGGCACAGGGGCCAAUUGAAUAAGAAGGAGCAGGACAAGUAGACCUGCAUCUCCUACCGUUUUUGAAAUAAAGACAGUCAGGAGGAGAGUGAUGAUGAUAAUAUCUUGAAGGAUAACAGAAUUUUCAGUGCUUUAAAAUAAUAACUGUUACUAUUAAAAAAGCUGUAUUUUAUUCAUUUAAUUUUCAG